UCUAAAUAUUAAAUUCUAAUCUAUCCUAAUAUAAAAUUGAGAUGAAAUGUAUGUGGCAUCAAACUAUUCGUAAAGGUGCGAUUUCACGAUGACGCUUGACGCCAGCUUCGAGCGUCGAAUUCGAUCACACUGUAUAAUUUCGAUCAAAGCGCCAUCUAGAUAAAGAGCAGUGAUAAAGCUGAAAAUUCUGAGCUUUAUUUAAUUGACGCUUAUGUACUAUUUAAUUAAAUUAAAAAUAUUAUUUAUUGUUUAUGAAACAUUAAAAUAAAAAAAAUAUAAUGGAUUUCGAUGAGGGUCGUUUAUUUCGUCAAAAUGACGCUUGACGCUAAAAGUUUGACGCUGCUUUUUAUCUAGAUGGCACUCUAAUCGAAAUUAUACAGUGUGAUCAAAUUUGACGCUCGAAGCUGGCGUCAAGCGUCGUCGUGAAAUCGCACCUUAAGUUGUAACCUCAUGAUGACGCUUGACGCUAGCUUUGAGCGUCAAACUAUAGCUCCACCUAGCUGAAAUAAAUAAAGACAUAUCCAGCGUCAAAUGCCAGCGUCAAAUUAAAAAAAUCAGCGGCGAAAAAAAUGUAUGAAUAUCGAAAGUCGAUAUCUCGAGAUAUACCUAGAAGCUAGUUCUUAACCUAAUUUUUAUAAAAACACAUGGUAAUAGUAAAAUAACUUAUGACAACAAUAAAUGUUAAACAUUAAUGAAAUAAUUACAUCAAAUUUAAGUGACUUAUCGAAAUUUCAAUGGCAGAUGAAUAUGAUUAUCAAUUGUGGAUUUAUCAGUGUCAAAAAAUAAUUCAAGCGCAAAUAAAAAAAAAAAUUCGACGUAAAAGGAUCAUAUGUGCUUUAUUAUGCAAUGAAAUAGUUAUCCAGAGAUCUAAAAAAAAAUAUACACCAAAGAAAUUUUGGAUCCAUCCUUUAUUUAAAUUACGACGAGAGCAUGGAUUUUUCGAAGCCGUCUUCCCAACUCUUUCUUCAUACUCUGAAAAAAUUGAAAAUUAUAUUCGAAUGACAGCUGUACAAUUUGAGCAGCUCUUAUAUCUAGUUGGCCCGAAAAUAUCAA